GUAAAGGUAAUAUGAUGGGGGAAGGCACUAGUACCUGGGAUAUAUAAAAAGGCCUCCUGAAGAAGGAAUGAAGAACCAGCAAAGGAGACUGAGAAGGAACAAUCAGGAAGUUAGAGAAUUGAACCUAGUACAGAGCCUUAAAUGCUUGUGGUUGAAUAAUAGGAGGAAGUUGAAAUUCUAAAUUAUCAGAACUCUGGACACAACGAGAGCCUUCCAGAUUACCUGUCAGUGUUGUCACUCAUAUGUGUAUCAAUAUUCCAGAGCUCUGACAACCUUCUUUAUUUUUAGCCUUAAAUUCCACUUUAUAAUAUAAAUAUCACACUCUGGGCAGGGCACCAGAGAGCAAUUACUGUACUUCCCAGGUGAGGCAAGUUGCUUGGCCCCAAAUCGUCAACACAUUCCCCAGGAUGUGUUCUCUUCACUCAGAGAUGAUUGGAAGGCACUUGUUACACAAUUAGAUAGCCUUGGAAGUGAGAGAAGUCAUUGGCACACAUAUCAGCAAAGGGCAGUGGAUCCACUCCUUCCUUCAUGGAGGGUUCGGUGAAGACCUAUUUCUUCAGAGAUGUUGGCAGGGGCAGGAAGCACUACCCCGAGCCUAGUUCCCUGCUCAGGGCAUGUGGAACUUUUGUGUCAAGGAGAUCAAGGCCAAUGUAUUACUAAAUGAGUAAUCUUUCCCUUUCCAUCCUCAUCAGCAAAUCCAAUCUUGCCGCUCCCCCCCUCCCAAACAAGCUUCCAAGUGUUCACUUGACUCAUUCAUCCUCCUACCAGGUUUAUGGAAGUUUGGGCUUAUCUAUCCUAGCCUUCUGGGAUCUGGGUGCAGGGAAGGUACCCCAUUGUGGGAGUUCAGAAAACACCACUCACCAAAUCCACCAUUGUACAACUCCAAGAGCUAAUAACCCAGUGAGUCUACCUUCUGCACUCUCUGGCUAGAAUCUUGGUGGUGGCCCAAGAACACUCAGCCAUCAUUUCAACCUCCAUGCUGUACUUUGCCAGCUCUCCCUCUUACAAGUUUAUCAAGUUGAAGGAUGACACUGUCAACAGACAUUAAAAAAAGAAGAAGAAAGAAACAGGAAGGGAAAGGAGAAAGAAGGGAAAAGGGAAAAAAACUACAACCUACAAGGCUUACUCAGGUACAAGGACGGUAUCUCCCUACUGCCAAGGUCACGCAGGCUGGCGUGAUGUGUCCUCAUUCUUCACUAUCACUUAAGCCUUAAGUGAGCUUCUCUGGGUCCCCAGCACCAUUUCUCUGCUGGCCUCUGUGCAGCCCAGGAGAGAAUAUCCUGGUUCAACAGGAGAUUGCUUUGUAAGACAACAGCUGAGCUGAUAAUGCCAGCAAAGUCGAGACACCAGGGACCUCUUACAAUUUUAAGAUCCAAUCAACUUUAAAAUAUUACUGUCGAAGGCAGAUUUGAGCAGGGGCUCUAGCAAACAAUUGAUCCUGGUAUAUUUACUGAGAGUCAAAGGCACUCCGUUGAAAUAUUAAUCUUGGGUGGGGGAGCACAGGAAAACCAGGAUAACAUCAGGCAGCCAAAGUUCUUUCUAUAAAUACUUCAACAAAAUAA